CCCUCCGGCCUGGGAAGUUAGGGACGGCGCGCGCGGAGGGGCUGGGAAGCGGUGCGAUGCCCUCUGCAGCCGGCGGAAAGGGCACUGCCAGCCUGACGACGCACAGCGGGCCGGGCGUGGAUGGGGGGAGAGACGGAGAAGAGAAGUGACCUGUCACGGCGGGGACAGAACCGGAGCGGGGACGCAGGCACGCUUCCGGACAGGGUGCUGCGCACGGGGCGUCUCCCGGCGCCACGCUGCUUCCUAGGGCAGAGCUAGCCCCGGAGCCCCAUCGCCGAGCUCCUGGCCCGCGCCGGCCCCGGGCCUGGGGCUGCGGGGAGGGGCUGUUGCUUCCUGGCCCAGGUGCUCAGAACACAGAACGAGGAAGAGCGGGCAAAGAUCCCUGCCGUACACUCUGCAAGGGGGAGAAGAAUGAACAAUAACUGUAAUCGACAAGCGGUGUAAACAGUACAUUUGAGCGUGGACCCGCCACACCCCCGGCUGAGCUGCCUCCCACUUGCUGGGCGACCGGGAGCAGGGGGACCAGAUGCCCCGCACGCACGAGCAGGACACCCGGGUCCGUUUGAAUUUCGGAUAAACAGCAGGUGGGAAUAGGACUGUGAGCAGAGCAUUCUCCACAGACUUGUCCAACCCACGUGGCACCCGAGUUCAAUGGGGAGCUGGGAAUUGGUCCGGGAAAGAAAAACAAGGGCAAGCAUUUGGAGGAUUUGAGCACCUCUUCUGCCCGUGAGCGAUUGGUCACUUCCUUCCGUAAGACUGGCACCAGCAGACAUGCAGUCUCAGAGGAUCCCGGGGAGAAAGCGAGGCCGACCCCCGCUUCACUCAACACCCAUGAAGAUGGCGGUUCAUACCCUUUAUUCCGCUUCAGCUGGCUCUUUGCCAGCAGUGAAGAUCCCAAAGAGAAGAGGGCGGAAGCCUGGGUACAAGCUCAAGUCUCGGGUUCUUAUGACUCCUUUAGCCCUCUCACCUCCGCGAAGCACACCGGAGCCCGACCUCAGCUCCAUCCCUCAGGAUGCAGCCACCAUACCCAGCUUGGCGGUCCCACAGGCUCUGACAGUCUGCCUGUACGUCAACAAGCAAGCCAACACAGGGCCGUACCUGGAGAGGAGGAAGCUGCAGCAGCUCCCCGAGCGCUUUGGGCCUGAGAGGCCAUCGGCGGUCUUGCAGCAAGCUGUACAAGCGUGCAUCGACUGUGCCCACCAGCAGAAGCUGGUCUUCUCCCUGGUCAAACAGGGCUAUGGUGGCGAGAUGGUGUCAGUCUCGGCAUCCUUUGAUGGGAAACAGCACCUGCGGAGCCUGCCUGUGGUGAACAGCGUCGGCUAUGUCCUCCGCUUCCUCGCCAAGCUGUGCCGAAGCCUCCUGUGUGAUGACCUCUUCAGCCACCAACCCUUCUCUAGGGGCUCCGGUGGCUCUGAGGAAGCCCAGGACAAGAAGGAAGGCAGGAUGGAGUCAGCAAAAACAGCCACCACUGAGGAGUGCCUGGUGAACCCUGUAGGCAUGAACCACUACAGCGUGGACCCCUCCGCCUCUGCCUUUAGCCACAGGGGCUCCUUGCCCACCUCCUCCUCGCUGUACUGCAAGAGGCAGAACUCUGGAGAUGGCCAUCUUGGGGGAGGCCUGGCCACCACUGCCAGUGGUCCCCGCUCCAGCCCCAUGUCCUCUGGAGGCCCCUUGGCACCUGGGCUGAGGCCCCCAGGCUCCAGCCCCAAGAGAAACGGGACCUCUCUUGAAGGAAACCGACGUGGUAAUGAAGGAUGCAUUCUACAGGGACCAGAUCACCAGCAGGAGCUGAGAACACAGCCUCGAGCCCUUCCCCCGACGGGCAGGACACCAGGCGGCCGAGGAGCAGGAACCCGUGCACCUGGACUGUGGAGGAUGUGGUCUGGUUCGUGAAAGACGCUGACCCGCAGGCUCUGGGUCCGCACGUGGAGCUCUUCAGAAAGCACGAGAUUGAUGGCAAUGCACUCUUGUUGCUGAAGAGCGAUAUGAUCAUGAAGUACUUGGGUCUGAAACUGGGACCCGCGCUGAAACUCUGCUACCAUAUUGAUAAACUGAAGCAAGCCAAAUUCUGAAGGUUUUUACAAAGAUAGAAGCGAAGUCCAGACAACAGGUCUCAAGAUCAUCUUCUGCCUUACCAACAUCCAGCACCAUCACAAAAUGGAUUCUCUCCUGAAAAAUAACAGCCACAAAGACUGGGUCUUUUUAUAAAACUUGUGCAUCUCUGCCUUUAAAAAAAAUUCAACAUGGCCCUUUUGAAAGGCUCCUCUGUGUUAAUGAUUUGCCAAAAAAAAUAAUGGAAAAGCCUAUUAUUUUAGCAUUUUUAUAGGUUGGUUGUUCUGAGAAUGGGUCCUAUUUUUAUGAUGAGAGAUCAGGGAACCCAAUGCUAUAGCCCACGGAGAACCAUGGAGGGUUCCAAGGAUGUGAGAAGAAAGACCUUUGUCUCUACAGGGACUCCACCAUAGCACCACCUGUCUUUAACUCUGCCCCAGGGACCUGUCAUUGUGAGCCUUGCUUAAUUCAGCUCUGGAAGCUGUCUUCUGAGGAAACAUGCCUCCUCACCUUGCACUAUCUGGAAAACUUGAAUUCUUUUGCUCUCUGAAAGAGAAGAAAAAAAUCUUUUUCUAUUCCUAGUUAUCCGAAGUACUGUGUUGUCCCACUAGAGGGCAGACUGCUAAUGAAGUUUCAGGACCCUCCCAGCGGCAGCCUGCUGAUUUAGUACUCAGUGGUCGGGUUAGGGUCUCUGUGAACAAGAUCUAGCACACAGACAUGGAGAAUUUCUUCCACAGUCAGCACCACAGAUUGCAACUUGGGGAAGAAACUAUCUUCUAGAACGUUCUAGUUCAUAUCCAGUCAUUAUUGACUGACUGAGAUGCCCAAGCAGCAAAGGCAAAAAUUUGGAAGUACGUUCUUCCCAGAUGGGGCUUUGGAGUUCCUUCCCUUUCAGAGUCCUUACUGGGGUGUUGAUGUGUUGGCACGUUGAAGAGUCUUAGUGACGUUUAGCCCAUGGGUGUUUCUUUAAAAAAUUUAGAAAAGUGUCUCAGAUAAGCUUUCAAAUGGGAGAGUGUUGAUUUCUUGUUACAUUGUUGGAUUGUGUAGUUGUACCGCUGGCUAAUUUUUCUAGUUCUCAACAAAUACACAGACAUGCUGUUAUUGGGUUUAAUUCCAUUUACAAAUAGGUUUUCCUUCCUCGCCGUGGAGUAAUAGGAAAAAAUCGAUUUUUCACCCCUUUGCAGCUGUGUCCAAGGAAGGACAAGUCCCCAGUUUACGAGGCAGAGGGCAACCUCAUCUCCAUUCUUUUUAUCCUUCUCCUUCCUCUCUUUCCCUCUUUCUUUUAUUCGUCCUCCCUUGCUGAAGAGGAAACACAUUUUCAAAAUGAAUUCACCUUUGCCAUGGGCAUAUCCUCUUCCUUAAAAACAUCCACAGUGUUAGAGAUGAGGAGAUGAAUACUAGACUCUGCAAUCUCUGGGAGGGCGAGGAUCAAAGAAAACUCAGGGUCCCCCUUGGCCCAAAUGCAAAUUAGAAAAAGCACACCUUUCUCCGGGGAUGCAGCCAAGCAGGGGGUCUCAGGUGAUGAACGGAGCAGGGGGGGAUUUCCUCCCCCUCCCCCUCAACUGGGUGCCCUUGUGCGGGACAGGAGCUGUGCAGCCUUGAGGCCAACCAGGCUAGAUUUGCAUACUGAUCUUCUGUAAAUCAGUUAGAACUUGGAGGAAGACCAUAAGGAAGAUUCCAUGCCAUGCUGUUAGACCCACUUUGACGAGCAAUAUUUGAGAAAGCACAUCCUAGCAAAAUCCUUUUUUAGGCACACAAAUGGUGGCUGGACUUAAAGCAUGACAGAGAUGGGAAGGAGGGCCACAUCCUACCCCUGCUUACCGACCUGAGCUUGAGUCAUCAGGUUGCUGAAGGGCUUAGUGUCUGUUGCUUUCAGCACCUGACAAUCCUACCUUGAAUCAGGCCUCGGGGACAGAGUCUUCCAAGAUUCUAAAGUGACAAAAUGACUCUGCCCCUCAAAGUUUGUUCAUUAUGAGUGCUCAUGGAUGGUCUGGAGUUAGAUCAGUCCCCUCAAAAGGCCACGGCUAGUUUAUGUAUUCAGAACUGCCAGUGUGAAAAUAGUGAGAUCUAGAAAACCCCACGACAGCCCAUCGGCUGUUUUUUGCUCAGUCCUCUGAAACUGGUCAUGCCUCUUUCAUCAACAUAUACCUCGUUGACUUUCAAAACUUCCUUCCCACCCUCACCAGUGCCUCUCUCACUACAAAGGCAUGAACAUUGGUGCUCCCAAAUUAAAAUCAUCCCCAAACAAUGUCAAAGAGAUACUUUGAGUAGUUUCCAGGGGAGAGAGAUUUUUCUCAUCUCAAGUCUAGGAGAAAACUGGAUCCAUGUUCACGUGUAACUGCUCUCACGGAGGUGCGAUCUCAUUUUGCAUUAAACUUUAAGCAGGACAGAUUGCUGAAGCCAUGAUAUUUAAGGUUUGACUUUUUAAAAAUCUCAUUACUCUUAAAAUGAAUCUGCCAUAUCAGAAAAUAACCCAGGGAGGAAAUUCCUCCUUGCCUGUUUUUGCACUGAAAUGCAAUUAGCCAACAAAAUUAUUGUAGCAAUACUGCAAUUAUAAUUAAUUUUCACCCCUUUCAAACAUCUUGUCAAACCAGGCAGCUAAAUAGCUCAGCAAAUGUAAAACAUGCCAGGCCAUUUCUUCUAAAUGGACCUUCAAGAGUCAGGCCAUGUGUGUCACUCUCGUCCAAAUGUGAGCUUAUUUUGGGAGCCUCACCCUUGUAAGGAUACGGUACUUGUUAUUCCACUGCGGUAGCUGUGUUUCAGGUUGUGGUGAAUAAUGAUAUAGUUUUGCAUAAUUCCAAAUUAGAGUGUGUGGGUGUGUGUGUUCGUGUCCAGACAUUUCCAAUCACCCGUUUCUGUUAAACACUUAAAAAAAAAAUCUAGAGACAAUUCUAUUGCCUAAAUUCAUUUUAAAUAUUUCAUAAGUACAUGAAUCCCUUUGUGAAGACUUCAGGUAAAAGAUGUAGGGUGUGUGUGUGUGUGUGUGUGUGUGUGUGUGUCCCCUAACACAGUGGUUGGAAGAGCCUAAGGAAGAGGCUGAGAGCGUGUCAGCUAUUCGCUUUGCUUGGUUUAAAAUGCCUCCCCAGGGCGCCUGGGUGGCUCAGAUGGUUAAGCGUCUGCCUUCGGCUCAGGUCAUGAUCCCAGGGUCCUGGGAUCGAGUCCCGCAUCGGGCUCCCUACUCAGUGGGAAGCCUGCUUCUCCCUCUGCCUCUCUCUCUCUCUCUGUCUCUUAUGAAUAAAUAAAAUCUUAAAAAAAAAAAAAAUGCCUCCCCAGUUUGGAACUUGGGAGGCAGAACCCGCUCUCGGCGGUUGGGACGAGGUAUCCCCUUUCCUGCCAGCAGGGUGCGCCCUGGAGGCCGCUGGGGACGGUGCCGGGCUCUGGGCCGGCCUCCCUCAGGUGCUGCCUAGCGCCCCCCCAGGGCGGGGAGCCGCGGGGCAGGGAACAGACGUCUUGAGCGCCUUGUUUAGUGCCCACCAGAGAGUUCACCAGGCUCCCACCAUUUCUCUUCAGCAGCGCGGCCAAGGUUUUUCCCCUUUGAUCAGGAAGGAGCGAAGAGCUCCUCAGGAGAACCAAAGACGCUAUUUAAAUCUAUUGGGAAGGAGUCCUGAGCUAAGGUUGGUUUGCUUGAGAAGGAAACCGGUGAGAGAAGGAAGACACAACUAUAAAUUUCUUAGGAAAACGAUGAAAGAGCACCUCCUCUCACAAUCCCAACCCCUGAAGCUGCAAUAACCUAUUUUUGUAUUUAUGUGCUGUAUGGAAUCUUUCUUACUUUUUAAAAUUAAAGUCAUUUUUUAAAUGAUUUUUUGAGAUUGCUUGAGGAGAAAUUUGUCAUCUCUCUGGAGAUAACUGGAAAUGCCCGGAGGUGACCAAGGACUGGAGUUUAGUCACUGCCGGAAGGUCUUGAAAGAUGGAAGUAUUCUGCUUUAUUUCUACCCAGCCAGGUUUUCGUACGUGUGAGCAGGUGACAAAUGCUCUGACAGGGCACUUCUUCAGCUCUUCCCUAGAGGGGUGACAGGAUGAAGAGAUUGGACUCACCUUUUUUUCUAACCUCUGAUAACAAGACAUGGGAUGGUGAGGGACUAGAUGAACUUUGUAAAGCUGCAAUGUUUUGUUAAGGCCUGAAAGAAAGCCUGUCGGUGGAUGUGGUUUAUUUUUUGUUAUAAACACACUCCAAGAACCGAGUGGUUGCCCAGCUCUGCUGUGGUCUUGCUAUGUCCCCUAUGCCCGGUGGCAUGAGAAGGCCACUUGAGAAGCCCAGAGGUGAAUCCCGCAGAUGGUCAGACGUCUAGAGAUGCCGCCAUUCCGGUUUCCAUCUUGUGAUGUCACCCCAGGGCCGACGCCCCGCUGCACUCACAGCCACUCAGCUUCCAGCACCACUUCGGGCUGUGCUGUCCAGGGAAGAGCCCUGCGAGCCCCAGCUUCCAAGGAGUCCUUCCCUCCAGUGGUUACCCCAAUCGAAGACGAUUCCUUCGUGGACAACUGGAAGCUGGAUUUUUGAAAGUCUAACGUUUACUUGAAGGAGAAUCUCUCUUAUUUAUUGCCACCAGUUAAAUAUUAUGGAAACAUAUCUGCUAACAAUUUGCUUUGUGUAAUUUGUUCUAAUGCUAAUAAGCAACAGCUGGGAUAUUUCCUGUGGUAAAUUCCUUUGUGGUUACAGUGGUAUUAUCACACAUGGACUUCACCAAAACGCUGUACUUAAGAAGAACGUUCACUCUGGCUCUCUCAGACUUCAGGAAAUUCCCCUAACUUAGAAACAGUUCUGGGCAAAAGCACAUUUUUAGAGGGAGAUUUGCUCUUCUUCACUCCCUGCUUCCUCAAGCAGGCCCCCAGACCUGUGCUUUUCAAAUCCUACAUACAGAGCCUGAGGGCGGUUCUCCUCACUUAGCACUGAGCUUGAGUUCCUCCAGGGGAAGAGCAGAAAGCAGAACUUAAGAAUGACGCCUUCCACCAGGUGAGGAUGCCAUACCCGGAGUCGAUAUUAAGAGCAUGUGGGCAGGAGAGGAGUGGAGACACAUCCAAAGGCGAAGAGGUGGCUCAGCAGGUGAUCAAAUAGUGACGACGUCAGCCAGUGUGGGGACUGCAGCAUCUCUCUGUCCAAAGGGUCUCCGUAUACCACUCAGACUUGCUCUGGGCUGCCAGCCCACCACGCUCUGCUCUGUCGUUCCACCGUAUUAUCUGAGCCUUAGAGCUCAUUCCACGCACCGAUGCUUGACUCAAAAGGCCAACACAAACGUCUUCCGUUAGAUCCUACUUUGGAACCCACCUGGUGCCUUGCUUUUCCGAACAGCUCACCGUGCAAGAGCAGACCCUAAUGGAGUGCCCUUUCCCCGUCACCCGUGUGACUGGACGCCACCUCCAUCAUAAAUGUAGCAUCCCCAAAUCUCAGGAAGGCUCUGCCUCCCCACCCAGUGCUAGAUGGCCUUCCCCACAGCCCUGAGAAACAGCUGUGCCCGACUACUUCCCAUUAGGGGGAGUUCACUCCCAUAGGAAGUGGCUUGUUUCUCUGUUGGACAGCUCUGGUUAUGAAAAAGUUAUUUCUCAGGGAGACACAGAUGUCUGUGAAUCACACACAGACGUUUGAGAUGAAGCCAACUCUGCAAUCUUUCUCUUUUUAACAGAGCUCGCCCAUGCAGUAAACCGCACCUAAAUCCAAAUCGACAUUGGCAAGUAGAUCCCAGCUCUGCUACAUGAGGAUAGGGGGCAGACACUUUAUAUAAAUGUAGAACUUAGCUAGGUCAUGGCCCUCAGAUUCAUCAGCCCUGUCAUGAAGAACUAGCGAAAUUCUUGUGGCCUCACACAUGCACAAAAGGGGGUCCUGGGAGAAUCUUCAGUGCAGCUGUGAAUCUGGCUGUGGUCACAUAGGCAUGUGAGUUACCUGAGCACGUGGGCAGGAGAGGAGUGGAUGGAUUGUGUGAAUGGAUCUGUAAGACCAUGCACUUCAUUAACUGUGAAGAAAAUGCUAUGAGAUGCUGAGGGCCUAUCUCUUAAUUGUACUCAUUAGUGAUAUGAUGAACUAAGAAAGCUUUAGUUUAGAUAAAAAUAAGUUAUAAUCGAUGAUAGAAAAAUAAACAUGGUCUGCCCUGACGGUAUGAAAGAGUGACACAGUUAUGACCCCAGGCCCAAGUUACAUUUCGUGCUUGUAUGUGCAUUCACGAGUGAGUGUGUAUUUGUGAGUUCAUGCAACCAGAAGUGGGAAUUGGGGGAUGUUUGAGAGGGAUCGCAAAGGGAGAUUUUGCUUUCUGGGACAUUUUGUCUUAAUCAGAAGAACUAUCUAGCAAUGAUUUAGAAAUCAGACCCCAAACUAAAUAAAACAUGGAGUUUAUGUAGCUUACUUACAUAAAAUUCUGGAUUAUGGAGCAGAUUCUCUAUAAAAAUACUUAAAUCUCGGUGCUUGGAAAAAGUAGAUAUUAGCUAGCACCUUUCAUAGCACUUGCCAUAAAAAAGGCACCUUGUUAAUGAACUAAAUGAACACGUGUGACCAGUUUUCAUAUUUUUGUCAAAAAGCCACUAAUUUCUCUUUGAACCCCAUUAUCUUUAUUGAAAGGAGAAUUGCCAAAGCAGAGCAUGUGGCCUUUUAUUUCCUGGCUCUCCCAACCUCUGCAGUCACCGACUUGCAUUUCACUUGCCUCCCUUUGUCUUAAGAUCUCACAUUCCGAUUGGCCUUGUGGUCUAUUGCAAGCAUUAGAGAGUAGUAUUUACAGCUUUACUUUUAAAACAUCUUUUCCUCCUCCUUCACAAUCUGUGACACCUCUCACAAAUGAGAGUUUCCAUCUAUGGGUAAACUUGCACAGGAAGGUAAGUUCUUUCCAUGACCCCCCGCACUUCCAGAACCUCACUCACCUUGGAGAGGGCAAGUCCGCCAAACUGGGCCUCCCGCACAAGCCACUCUGUCAUACAUGCGGAUGCAGCAAGCCUGUUCGAG